rnacentral:tRNA from 3 species
GCCGGAGUGGUGGAAUUGGCAGACGCAACGGACUCAAAAUCCGUCGAGGUCACACUCGUGCGGGUUCAAGUCCCGCCUUCGGCACCA